rnacentral:rRNA from 1 species
CUACGUAGGGAGCGAGCGUUGUCCGGAAUUACUGGGUGUAAAGGGUGCGUAGGCGGGUAGACAAGUCAGCAGUGAAAUUUAUGGGCUUAACUCAUAACGUGCAUUUGAAACUGCAGGUCUUGAGUAUCGGAGAGGCAAGCGGAAUUCCUAGUGUAGCGGUGAAAUGCGUAGAUAUUAGGAGGAACACCAGUGGCGAAGGCGGCUUGCUGGACGACAACUGACGCUGAGGCGCGAAAGCGUGGGGAGCAAACAGGAUUAGAUACCCUGGUAGUCCACGCCCUAAACGAUGAAUACUAGGUGUGGGGGGACUGACCCCUUCCGUGCCGGAGUAAACACAAUAAGUAUUCCACCUGGGGAGUACGACCGCAAGGUUGAAACUCAAAUGAAUUGACGGGG